rnacentral:lncRNA from 1 species
AUGACAUAUAUCUAUCUAUCCUCUAUCAUCUAUCUAUCUAUCAUCUAUCUAUCUAUCAUCUAUCUAUCAUCUAUCUAUCAUCUAUCUAUCAUAUCUAUCAUCUAUCUAUCUAUCUAUCAUCUAUCUAUCCUCUAUCAUCUAUCUAUCAUCUAUCUAUCCUCUAUCAUCUAUCUAUCCUCUAUCAUCUAUCUAUCCUCUAUCAUCUAUCUAUCUAUCUAUCAUCUAUCUAUCAUAUCUAUCAUCUAUCUAUCAUAUCUAUCUAUUAUCUAUCUAUCUAUCAUAUCUAUCAUCUAUCUAUCUAUCAUCUAUCUAUCCUCUAUCAUCUAUCUAUCAUCUAUCUAUCUAUCUAUCUAUCAUCUAUCUAUCCUCUAUCAUCUAUCUAUCAUCUAUCUAUCCUCUAUCAUCUAUCUAUCUAUCAUCUAUCUAUCAUCUAUCUAUCCUCUAUCAUCUAUCUAUCAUCUAUCUAUCAUCUAUCUAUCUAUCUAUCAUCUAUCUAUCCUCUAUCAUCUAUCUAUCCUCUAUCAUCUAUCUAUCUAUCUAUCUAUCUAUCAUAUCUAUCAUCUAUCUAUCUAUCUAUCUAUCAUAUCUAUCUAUUAUCUAUCUAUCUAUCUAUCAUCUAUCUAUCAUAUCUAUCAUCUAUCUAUCUAUCUAUCUAUCUAUCUAUCAUAUCUAUCAUCUAUCUAUCCUCUAUCAUCUAUCUAUCCUCUAUCAUCUAUCUAUCAUAUCUAUCAUCUAUCUAUCAUAUCUAUCAUCUAUCUAUCUAUCAUCUAUCUAUCUAUCAUAUCUAUCUAUUAUCUAUCUAUCUAUCCUCUAUCAUCUAUCUAUCAUCUAUCUAUCCUCUAUCAUCUAUCUAUCAUAUCUAUCUAUUAUCUAUCUAUCUAUCAUCUAUCUAUCUAUCUAUCAUCUAUCUAUCUAUCAUCUAUCUAUCAUCUAUCUAUCAUCUAUCUAUCCUCUAUCAUCUAUCUAUCAUCUAUCUAUCUAUCUAUCAUCUAUCUAUCAUAUCUAUCAUCUAUCUAUCUAUCUAUCAUAUCUAUCAUCUAUCUAUCCUCUAUCAUCUAUCUAUCCUCUAUCAUCUAUCUAUCAUAUCUAUCAUCUAUCUAUCAUCUAUCUAUCCUCUAUCAUCUAUCUAUCUAUCAUAUCUAUCUAUUAUCUAUCUAUCUAUCUAUCUAUCAUCUAUCUAUCAUCUAUCUAUCUAUCUAUCUAUCUAUCUAUCUAUCUAUCUAUCUAUCUAUCAUCUAUCUAUCAUAUCUAUCUAUUAUCUAUCUAUCUAUCUAUCUAUCUAUCUAUCAUAUCUAUCUAUUAUCUAUCUAUCUAUCUAUCUAUCUAUCUAUCUAUCUAUCUAUCUAUUAUCUAUCUAUCUAUCUAUCUAUCUAUCUAUCUAUCUAUCAUCUAUCUAUCAUAUCUAUCAUCUAUCUAUCCUCUAUCAUCUAUCUAUCAAGAGUGAGACAGACAGAGACAGAAAGAUGGAAAAACUGCUUAAAGUAUUACUUUGAUAAUAAUAAUAAACAUUACAGCUUUAUUGCAGGAAAAUAG